UUAAUGCUGAUCCCUUCCUGCGUUUAGUGGCCUAUAGGAUGCAGUGCCUCCAAACACUAUAGGUUAAUGCUGAUCCCUUCCUGCGUUUAGUGGCCUAUAGGAUGCA